rnacentral:rRNA from 1 species
GAUGAACGCUAGCUACAGGCUUAACACAUGCAAGUCGAGGGGCAGCAUUUCAGUUUGCUUGCAAACUGGAGAUGGCGACCGGCGCACGGGUGAGUAACACGUAUCCAACCUGCCGAUAACUCGGGGAUAGCCUUUCGAAAGAAAGAUUAAUACCCGAUGGUAUAAUCAGACCGCAUGGUCUUGUUAUUAAAGAAUUUCGGUUAUCGAUGGGGAUGCGUUCCAUUAGGCAGUUGGUGAGGUAACGGCUCACCAAACCUUCGAUGGAUAGGGGUUCUGAGAGGAAGGUCCCCCACAUUGGAACUGAGACACGGUCCAAACUCCUACGGGAGGCAGCAGUGAGGAAUAUUGGUCAAUGGGCGCAGGCCUGAACCAGCCAAGCAGCGUGAAGGAUGACUGCCCUAUGGGUUGUAAACUUCUUUUAUAUGGGAAUAAAGUUUUCCACGUGUGGAAUUUUGUAUGUACCAUAUGAAUAAGGAUCGGCUAACUCCGUGCCAGCAGCCGCGGUAAUACGGAGGAUCCGAGCGUUAUCCGGAUUUAUUGGGUUUAAAGGGAGCGUAGGUGGACAGUUAAGUCAGUUGUGAAAGUUUGCGGCUCAACCGUAAAAUUGCAGUUGAUACUGGCUGUCUUGAGUACAGUAGAGGUGGGCGGAAUUCGUGGUGUAGCGGUGAAAUGCUUAGAUAUCACGAAGAACUCCGAUUGCGAAGGCAGCUCACUGGACUGCAACUGACACUGAUGCUCGAAAGUGUGGGUAUCAAACAGGAUUAGAUACCCUGGUAGUCCACACAGUAAACGAUGAAUACUCGCUGUUUGCGAUAUACAGUAAGCGGCCAAGCGAAAGCAUUAAGUAUUCCACCUGGGGAGUACGCCGGCAACGGUGAAACUCAAAGGAAUUGACGGGGGCCCGCACAAGCGGAGGAACAUGUGGUUUAAUUCGAUGAUACGCGAGGAACCUUACCCGGGCUUAAAUUGCAUUUGAAUAUAUUGGAAACAGUAUAGCCGUAAGGCAAAUGUGAAGGUGCUGCAUGGUUGUCGUCAGCUCGUGCCGUGAGGUGUCGGCUUAAGUGCCAUAACGAGCGCAACCCUUAUCUUUAGUUACUAACAGGUCAUGCUGAGGACUCUAGAGAGACUGCCGUCGUAAGAUGUGAGGAAGGUGGGGAUGACGUCAAAUCAGCACGGCCCUUACGUCCGGGGCUACACACGUGUUACAAUGGGGGGUACAGAAGGCAGCUACCUGGUGACAGGAUGCUAAUCCCAAAAGCCUCUCUCAGUUCGGAUCGAAGUCUGCAACCCGACUUCGUGAAGCUGGAUUCGCUAGUAAUCGCGCAUCAGCCAUGGCGCGGUGAAUACGUUCCCGGGCCU